AGCAAUCACAAAGAGCUCUUUGCCAUGUCAGACUACCUUUGGUUUGAAGAAAUACCUUUCCCUGUUAUAGGGUAUAAAAAAGAAAUACUUGAAGCAAUUCAUGAUAAAUUUGUGAUCAGAGAUGAAGACACAGUCAUACUGACUCACCCUAAAUCAGGAACUAAUUGGCUGACCGAGAUUGUCUGCUUGAUUCAGACCAAGGGGAAACAUGAGUGGGUCCAAUCUGUGCCUACCUGGGAACACUCACCCUGGAUAGAGUCUGAAGAUGGAUAUCAAACAUUAAUCAAUAAGGAAGGACCACGCCUCAUCACUUCCCACCUUUCCAUCCAUCUUUUCCCCAAGUCUUUCUUCAGUUCCAAGGCCAAGGUCCAGUGUUUGACAAAUCUUUUACAAAAUGGUCUUUGAACUUAUGCUACCAUAACAGGCUCUGGAGUUGUUGAUGAUAUGCACUCUGAUGGUGUAGGUUGGGAGAGGGAAGCUGGGAUUCUCAUGCACUAGGUGAUGCUGUUGUGUCCCCUCCUCAGACUACAUCAGAGUACCAGGAUGUCAAGCACCACACAGUGAUCCUGGGCAGAUAUACAAGAGAAUAUGAAAUAUCAACUAGAGCAUUCAAGAACUACACAUACAGGUCAAAUUUUAGUGUACAGUGUAUAUUACUGUUUUCUUGUCAUAACAGUCAAUUAGUUAAUUCCAAUUCUACACAUAGCCCAUGCCCUGUGGUAAAUCACUCAAGGCAGAGUUGCUCAUAGGGGAAGCAGCCUGACCAGGCAUCAGUGCUCUAGUCAUGGAGAUUGCUCAGCAGUCAUGGCUCAUCUGUACCCACCAUGUCCUGCUGUGUAUAGCUGUCCAUUGAGAUCAGUAGCCACAGGAGUCACCCAUGUCACUGAUGGAGGAUCUCCAUAAGAGAUCAGAGAUAUCCAGGUUCUCACUUAUCAUAGCUUCUUGUUAGUAAGAAAGUUUUCUGGAAGUCCCUCCACCAUGGAACCUAAAAAUAUUUUAUGCUUAAACUACAAAGACAAACUUUGAAAAAUAAUUUCUCUUGAAAAUAUCACAAUGAAGUUGGGACCAUUCACUUUUAUGCGAGUAUCUUAUCUGGAUUUGGCAAACCCUUGGCUGGAGAAAUUAAUGCCUAAAGAGAUGGAUUCUAGAAUAAUGUCUCAAAGAACAUUGGUACAAAAUAUAAAUUUUAUUUUAUUAAUAAUUAUUUUUAACUUAUUUCUUUUAUUUUUGAGAUUAUAAUAUAAUUACCUAUAUCAUCACCCCUUCCUCUUCUUAUCUUCAAGCCCACCCAUAUACCCCUGCUUUCUCUCUUUCAAAUAUUUGGUCUCUCUUUUCAUGAAUUGUUGUUAUAUCUGUUAUGUAUCUGCAUAUUCCUAAAUACUUAAGUAUAACCUGCUCCAUUUAUACAAUGUUACUUGUAACUCUGUUUUCAGGGGUGAGCAUUUGUUAUUGGUAACCAAUUGUUAUGCAUUUCCCAGAGUAGGUCGAUUUCUCCCACUCUCAGCCUUUCUUAGUUGCCUGUACAUCUUUGUGUUCACCAUUGUGCAAUGACACAUUAGCUUUAAGUGCUGCAUCAUGAUUAUUUUGAGAGGUUGUAUUUGGUAGUUAGAGUUACAGAAAUCAAUUUGUCAUUUUGCAGAUAGAUUUAGCACAGUACUCAUCACUCUGAAUAUGUAAGAUGUUCUUUUCCAUUGGAUGGAUGGUCUUUCACAGUGUUAAGUUAUUGAUCUUUACAACUAUUGAAUCAGUCUUGGUUUGUUGUUGUUGUUUUGUUUUUUACAAUAAUUGUGACCUCAUUCAUUUUGCUGUUAUAUUUUUGUAAAUCAAAUGAAAUUAUAAAAGAGGUUUCUGACUAUAGAUAUUUUACACUUAUGUAUAUAUUUUGUCCAAAAAAGUAAUAAAUGUUUUUAGAUUUUGUA